CUUUUGGGUGUGACUGCGUACCUUUUGUAUAAUGGGUCAGCGACUUAUAUUCUGUAGCAAGGUUAACCGAAUAGGGGAGCCGGAGGGAAACCGAGUCUUAAUUGGGCGUUAAGUUGCAGGGUAUAGACCCGAAACCCGGUGAUCUAGCCAUGGGCAGGUUGAAGGUUGGGUAACACUAACUGGAGGACCGAACCGACUAAUGUUGAAAAAUUAGCGGAUGACCUGUGGCUGGGGGUGAAAGGCCAAUCAAACCGGGAGAUAGCUGGUUCUCCCCGAAAGCUAUUUAGGUAGCGCCUCGUGAAUUCAUCUCCGGGGGUAGAGCACUGUUUCGGCUAGGGGGCCAUCCCGGCUUACCAACCCGAUGCAAACUGCGAAUACCGGAGAAUGUUAUCACGGGAGACACACGGCGGGUGCUAACGUCCGUCGUGAAGAGGGAAACAACCCAGACCGCCAGCUAAGGUCCCAAAGUCAUGGUUAAGUGGGAAACGAUGUGGGAAGGCCCAGACAGCCAGGAUGUUGGCUUAGAAGCAGCCAUCAUUUAAAGAAAGCGUAAUAGCUCACUGGUCGAGUCGGCCUGCGCGGAAGAUGUAACGGGGCUAAACCAUGCACCGAAGCUGCGGCAGCGACACUCAGGUGUUGUUGGGUAGGGGAGCGUUCUGUAAGCCUGUGAAGGUGUGUCGUGAGGCAUGCUGGAGGUAUCAGAAGUGCGAAUGCUGACAUAAGUAACGAUAAAGCGGGUGAAAAGCCCGCUCGCCGGAAGACCAAGGGUUCCUGUCCAACGUUAAUCGGGGCAGGGUGAGUCGACCCCUAAGGCGAGGCCGAAAGGCGUAGUCGAUGGGAAACGGGUUAAUAUUCCCGUACUUGGUGUUACUGCGAAGGGGGGACGGAGAAGGCUAUGUUGGCCGGGCGACGGUUGUCCCGGUUUAAGCGUGUAGGUGUGUGUUCCAGGUAAAUCCGGUCCACUUUAACACUGAGGCGUGAUGACGAGGCACUACGGUGCUGAAGCAACAAAUGCCCUGCUUCCAGGAAAAGCCUCUAAGCAUCAGGUAACAUCAAAUCGUACCCCAAACCGACACAGGUGGUCAGGUAGAGAAUACCAAGGCGCUUGAGAGAACUCGGGUGAAGGAACUAGGCAAAAUGGUGCCGUAACUUCGGGAGAAGGCACGCUGACACGUAGGUGAAGUGAUUUACUCAUGGAGCUGAAGUCAGUCGAAGAUACCAGCUGGCUGCAACUGUUUAUUAAAAACACAGCACUGUGCAAACACGAAAGUGGACGUAUACGGUGUGACGCCUGCCCGGUGCCGGAAGGUUAAUUGAUGGGGUCAGCGCAAGCGAAGCUCCUGAUCGAAGCCCCGGUAAACGGCGGCCGUAACUAUAACGGUCCUAAGGUAGCGAAAUUCCUUGUCGGGUAAGUUCCGACCUGCACGAAUGGCGUAAUGAUGGCCAGGCUGUCUCCACCCGAGACUCAGUGAAAUUGAACUCGCUGUGAAGAUGCAGUGUACCCGCGGCAAGACGGAAAGACCCCGUGAACCUUUACUAUAGCUUGACACUGAACAUUGAGCCUUGAUGUGUAGGAUAGGUGGGAGGCUUUGAAGUGUGGACGCCAGUCUGCAUGGAGCCGACCUUGAAAUACCACCCUUUAAUGUUUGAUGUUCUAACGUGGACCCGUUACCCGGGUUGCGGACAGUGUCUGGUGGGUAGUUUGACUGGGGCGGUCUCCUCCUAAAGAGUAACGGAGGAGCACGAAGGUUGGCUAAUCCUGGUCGGACAUCAGGAGGUUAGUGCAAUGGCAUAAGCCAGCUUGACUGCGAGCGUGACGGCGCGAGCAGGUGCGAAAGCAGGUCAUAGUGAUCCGGUGGUUCUGAAUGGAAGGGCCAUCGCUCAACGGAUAAAAGGUACUCCGGGGAUAACAGGCUGAUACCGCCCAAGAGUUCAUAUCGACGGCGGUGUUUGGCACCUCGAUGUCGGCUCAUCACAUCCUGGGGCUGAAGUAGGUCCCAAGGGUAUGGCUGUUCGCCAUUUAAAGUGGUACGCGAGCUGGGUUUAGAACGUCGUGAGACAGUUCGGUCCCUAUCUGCCGUGGGCGCUGGAGAACUGAGGGGGGCUGCUCCUAGUACGAGAGGACCGGAGUGGACGCAUCACUGGUGUUCGGGUUGUCAUGCCAAUGGCACUGCCCGGUAGCUAAAUGCGGAAGAGAUAAGUGCUGAAAGCAUCUAAGCACGAAACUUGCCCCGA
rnacentral:rRNA from 1 species